rnacentral:piRNA from 1 species
UGGUCACCAUAUCCUUAUUAUAUAGCUGUC